AAAGAAACUUAUCUACUAAUAUUUAAGUACAAUUAAAAUAUAUCACAAAACUUUUUUCUUGUUUCAGUCUUAAAAAAUGAUUAAUCAUCUACCUAUGUUAGCAAACAAAACAAAAUGAACAAAGAAAAACUUAACAAUUUGGUAAUAUUUUAAUACAAUUCAAAUGAAUAACCAAUCUUUUUUUCAGUCUUCAAAUUAACUUAGUAGUUUUCACAUUUUUAAAUUAUUGAAAUAUUAAAUACUGUAAACUGUGAUUAUCUGUGAGAUUCGUUUAUUCGUAACUGUAGAUGUUUUCUGGAGGGAUAUCACUAAUGGUUUUCUGUUAAUUAUUUAUGUAUUGCCGUAUAUCUUCAUUUAUUGUUGCUUCAGAUCUUUUGAUAUUUGUAGGCAAACGAUAAGAUUGAGGUUU